GGAGGUUGGCUUAGAAGCAGCCAUCCUUUAAAGAAAGCGUAAUAGCUCACUGGUCGAGUCGGUCUGCGCGGAAGAUGUAACGGGGCUAAACUAUGCACCGAAGCUGCGGAUUCAGAAUUUAUUCUGAGUGGUAGGGGAGCGUUCUGUAAGCCGUUGAAGGUGUGCCGGGAGGCAUGCUGGAGGUAUCAGAAGUGCGAAUGCUGACAUGAGUAACGAUAAUGCGGGUGAAAAACCCGCACGCCGGAAGACCAAGGGUUCCUAUCCCAUGUUAAUCAGGGUAGGGUAAGUCGACCCCUAAGGCGAGGCCGAAAGGCGUAGUCGAUGGGAAACGGAUUAAUAUUUCCGUACUUGGUAUAAUUGCGAUGGGGGGACGGAGAAGGCUAAGCAAGCAUGGCGAUGGUUGUCCAUGUGAAAGUGAGUAGGGCGUUUGUUUAGGUAAAUCCGGACGAACAUUAAACCUGAGACACGAGACGAGUCACUACGGUGAUGAAGUUGCUGAUGCCAUACUUCCAGGAAAAGCCUCUAAGCUUCAGAUUAUACCGAAUCGUACCCCAAACCGACACAGGUGGUCAGGUAGAGAAUACUAAGGCGCUUGAGAGAACUCGGGUGAAGGAACUAGGCAAAAUCGUACCGUAACUUCGGGAGAAGGUACGCUCCUAUCUGUGAUGAGACUUGCUCUCUAAGCGGACGGGAGCCGCAGUGACCAGGUGGCUGGGACUGUUUAUUAAAAACACAGCACUGUGCAAAAUCGCAAGAUGACGUAUACGGUGUGACACCUGCCCGGUGCCGGAAGGUUAAUUGAUGGGGUUAGCGCAAGCGAAGCUCUUGAUCGAAGCCCCGGUAAACGGCGGCCGUAACUAUAACGGUCCUAAGGUAGCGAAAUUCCUUGUCGGGUAAGUUCCGACCUGCACGAAUGGUGUAACCAUGGCCACGCUGUCUCCACCCGAGACUCAGUGAAAUUGAAAUCGCAGUGAAGAUGCUGUGUACCCGCACCUAGACGGAAAGACCCCGUGAACCUUUACUACAGCUUGGCACUGAACAUUGAACCUACAUGUGUAGGAUAGGUGGGAGGCUUCGAAGCACAGUCGCUAGAUUGUGUGGAGCCGUCCUUGAAAUACCACCCUUGUAUGUUUGAUGUUCUAACAUUGGUCCCUUAUCGGGAUUAUGGACAGUGUCUGGUGGGUAGUUUGACUGGGGCGGUCUCCUCCCAAAUAGUAACGGAGGAGCACGAAGGUUAGCUAAUCACGGUCGGACAUCGUGAGGUUAGUGCAAUGGCAUAAGCUAGCUUAACUGCGAGACAGACACGUCGAGCAGGUACGAAAGUAGGUCAUAGUGAUCCGGUGGUUCUGUAUGGAAGGGCCAUCGCUCAACGGAUAAAAGGUACU
rnacentral:rRNA from 1 species